CAGAAGGUAGAGGUCCGUGGAGGGA
rnacentral:misc_RNA from 1 species